GGUUUGUAGGUGGAGUUGUAAGUUGUUUCGUUUCGCACGGAAACUCCUACAAUUCCGCUGCCACACAUGUAUCUCGUUACGGUGUGCAGCCAUGUUGGGCUGGGGAGGGGUGUUCGGCUGGUGCCGAUCCUGUCAUUUUUGGGGGUAGAAGCCCAUUAACCUGGGCCUGCAUUUGAGCCGUGGUGGCCUCUUGUGCACCCUGGCACUGCUCGAGCGCUGUCAACCGGUUGACGAUGUUGGCGAUCCAGGCUUGUU
rnacentral:lncRNA from 1 species